rnacentral:hammerhead_ribozyme from 1 species
AUCCGACUGACGAGUCCCAAAUAGGACGAAACGCGCGUCCUGAAU